rnacentral:rRNA from 1 species
AGUGAACGCUGGCGGUAGGCCUAACACAUGCAAGUCGAACGGCAGCACAGUAAGAGCUUGCUCUUACGGGUGGCGAGUGGCGGACGGGUGAGGAAUAAAUCGGAAUCUACUUUUUCGUGGGGGAUAACGUAGGGAAACUUAAGCUAAUACCGCAUACGACCUACGGGUGAAAGCAGGGGAACUUCGGACCUUGCGCGAUUGAAUGAGCCGAUGUCGGAUUAGCUAGUUGGCGGGGUAAAGGCCCACCAAGGCGACGAUCCGUAGCUGGUCUGAGAGGAUGAUCAGCCACACUGGAACUGAGACACGGUCCAGACUCCUACGGGAGGCAGCAGUGGGGAAUAUUGGACAAUGGGCGCAAGCCUGAUCCAGCCAUACCGCGUGGGUGAAGAAGGCCUUCGGGUUGUAAAGCCCUUUUGUUGGGAAAGAAAAGCAGCAGGUUAAUACCCCGCUGUUCUGACGGUACCCAAAGAAUAAGCACCGGCUAACUUCGUG